UACAGAGGGUGCGAGCGUUGUCCGGAAUCACUGGGCGUAAAGGGCGCGUAGGUGGCUUGGUAAGCGUGUGGUGAAAGUCCGGGGCUCAACCCCGGAUCUGCCGUGCGAACUGCCGAGCUUGAGCGAUGUAGAGGCAGGUGGAAUUUCGGGUGUAGCGGUGGAAUGCGUAGAUAUCCGAAAGAACACCAGUGGCGAAGGCGGCCUGCUGGGCAUCAGCUGACACUGAGGCGCGACAGCGUGGGGAGCAAACAGG
rnacentral:rRNA from 1 species